rnacentral:hammerhead_ribozyme from 1 species
AUUCAGCUGACGAGUCCCAAAUGGGACGAGACGCUCGUCCUGGAU